ACACGCUGGAGAGAUAGAACAUUGCGUAAUAUACAAAGAGACGCCGAAACCGUUAUAACGAUCGUCUUGGGAACAGAAACAUCUUCCAAUUGGUCAAAGCCGUAUUCAACCAAGUCAAACAAACCGGAAUAUACACUUUCGGUGUAAAGAGCUUCGAGAAGAGAUAUUGCAGGAUGUCUAGUCAAAUAAACAUGCAAAUUGUUAUUUUGAAGAUUAUCCCUGACCUUACUGCUAAGAAUUCGAGAGUAUAAUAACAAAUCAAUGUUGAGACCAUCAAGGACGGCGAGCAUAUAUUGUAAACAUGCAUACUGUAACCUGAUGGAUCCAACAUCACGCAUUAACCUCCACUGAGUAGAAGAAGCCACAAAAGUUUCCACGACAUAAUCAACAUAAGGUUGAACUCCUGGUGUACGAUAGGAAGCACCCAAAUUCUCAGGAAACGUUAAAUUAACAUUGAGUU